GGUCAAGUUACUAAGGGCGUACGGGGGAUGUCUUGGUAUCAAGAGGCGAUGAAGAGCGUGGAAGUCUGCGAAAAGCUUGGGGGAGCUGACAAACAAGUGAUGAUCCCGAGAUGCUCGAAUUAACUUAUACUGAAUACAUAGGUAUAUGUGGCCAACCCAGGGAAUUGAAACAUCUUAGUACCUGGUGGAAAAGAAAGAAAAAUCGAUUCCGUUAGUAGCGGCGAGCGAAAGCGGAAUAGCCCAAACCGAGGAGGUUUCCUCUUCGGGGUUGUAGGGCCUCUCACAUGGGAGUUACAAAGCGAACAUUAACUGAACAGCAUGGAAUGGCUGACCAUAGACGGUGACAGUCCGGUAAGUGAAAAUGUAGCGCCUCCCGAGGGGUACCUGAGUAAGCCGAGCCACGUGGAAUCUCGGCUGAAUCUACGGGGACCAUCCCGUAAGGCUAAAUACUCCUUGAUGACCGAUAGUUAACUCAGUACAGCGAUGGAAAGGUGAGAAGAACCCCGACAAGGGGAGGAACGUGAACCUGAAACCGUACGCUUACAAGCGGUCGGAGCCCUAUGUUUACAUGGGUGACGGCGUGCCUUUUGCAAAAUGAUCCGGCGAGUUAUUGUUCAUAGCAGGUUAAGUCUCUACGGGACGAAGCCACAGGGAAACCGAGUCUGAAUAGGGCGAUUUGGUUAUGGGCAAUAGGCGCGAAACUGUGUGAUCUACCCAUGGACAGGUUGAAGCGCGGGUUAAACUGCGUGGAGGACCGAACUCAUUUGGGUUGAAAACCGAUGGGAUGAUCUGUGGGGAGGAGUGAAAGUCUAAUCAAACACAGAGAUAGCU
rnacentral:rRNA from 1 species